rnacentral:misc_RNA from 1 species
AUGAAAGGCAAAAAGAGAGAGAGAGAGAUAGAAAAGAGGAAGGAACAAAUACAAGAACGAGGCCGCUAGCAUCCGCGCGCACACGGAACCUCCAGAGACUCUACCGGUACUUCCUCGACGACGAGUUCAUGAACCUGAUGCACUCCUCCACCGCUUCGCUCUUGUGCGAGUCAUCGACGACGACGACCGUCGUCGGCGCGGACGACUGCUGCUGCCGCCUGCUACUACGCCGCCUCGCCGGCGUGCCGCAGUCGGGCGAAGCGGCGCCGGCGCCUGCUUGUGCUCUCUUGGCCGCCGUCGUCGACGGGGGCCGAAACGCCCUGGCGAUGCUUACCCGCGCUCGCCUGUAGAAGCGCGCGGCCGUCCACCGCGCGGUCCGCAGCAGGCGAGAGCCGCACGCGCCUCGCACUCGCCGUUGCCGAGGUCGCUCCUCCUCCCGGUCCCGGUCCGGCGCCGACGCCGUCCGGCCCGCGGACCGCCUGGUGGACGGCAGGGAGAUCAUGGGCGUGAUCUCGGCUGGGCUGAUCCGUGUACAGUCGCUCCCUUUCCUCCUCAUGCCGUCGGUCGGAUGAUGCCUGAUCAUGCAACCCCCCCAAUAUAGUGUGCGCGUAGCGUAUGCGUGACGGGGACAGCCUAGCUAGUCGCCGCCGCCUACGCACGAGACGUUUUAUACGCGGCAAGGGCUGGUGCGGUGGUGUGUGGUGGUGCCUGUGCUAUGCCUCUCGGCGGUCUCAGCUCAAAGGCCGGCCUGCGUGCGAGUGUAUGUGACAAGAGCAUGGAAGGGCUGCGAGCUGGGAACACAGCA